AAUGCCUGAGUUUUCCCUCUAUAAAAGUACUCCGUGGUCUUGGCGUUUAUAGGGAAAAAUCAAAGGAAUCUCUAGCGCCAGGGAAAGAGAACUAAGAGAAGUAACGACACUGGUGACUUUCCCUAGACGACACGAACUCUCAUUGGUUGGCUAUACUCAUCUAUACGUAAUACAGUGGUGUGGCAGCACUUGCCAGGUUAGUGGAUAAUUGUAACAAUUGCAAAAAUUGUAGUGUGCAAUUUGUGUGGAAGAGCUACAGUUAUUGUUCACCAUCAGUUUAAUUAUAUAAUUCAUCAAAUAUGCUAGUUAAGAUAGGAACUGGGUUUAUGUUAAUCGGAUACGUACUUUUCUUAGCAAAAUGUGUAAUUGAUCCAACAAGCGCGAUGUUGACGCGUUACAAUUCAGUAUACGGCGACGUAGAUGAGAAGACACAGGAAAAGUUGGGGAGAAGUUUUUAAAGGUUAUAAUCAACCAUGUUGGACUGUAUUGUACGUAGUUUAAAGUCUACCUUUGUGAAGGAUUAAUGCCAUCUAAUAUUAUGGUAUACUGUUAUUUUAUGUAUACAGUAUGCUUGUGAACACAGAAGUCAUGGGAUUAUAAUAAAACGGAGUAUUUACAGGGAA